GUCGAAGCCGUGUGGGCUAGUUGAGAUAAUGCGGCCCGCCGCGCCACCGAAGCUACUGGGCGGCCCAACCAGAGCGCAAGUGCGCAACGCAAGACGUGCCGAUCUGGCGGUCGAUAGCGUGGAUGGAGACAAGCUGGAAUGGUUCAGAUACCACGGAGCGUCCGAGGGUCGGUGGGCGUCCGGACUCCGGAGGCGACGGCUGGGCGGUCGUCGGUGACCAUGGCGGCCGCAGCCCACGACGACGAGCGGCGGCGACGAGGGGAAAUGCGAGGUUAGUCCAGGACUCCUGUUCCACUCCCAGAUCCCAAUCUACCGCAAUCUUCCAUCGUUUGCUUCUCCUACGAAAUCCAUUCUCUAUACUCAAAUCUCUUGUCAGUCCCGAAUAAAUCUAGGAGAUGUAAUGUAGCCGAUUGGAAUGGGACGCAUCUGCUUCUAGUUGCAAGUUUUAUUUGUUCGAUGAGGAGGGAGAAGUAUCUUGGAAAAAUCGACUACACUAUAUUUUGUCAAGGUGGAGUAUUUCUAGCCGUCCAUUCCUGGUCAAUGAAUCUCCUACAUAUCAAUGAUUCUUUCCACAUACUUCUUGCCGCAUGAAUCUCGAUGCAACAUUAUUUUCCGGGUUGGACAUGGCACCAAUCAUGCAGGUUGUUAGCCUUGAUUGUUGUAGAUUGACUUGAUAUUUGUUCUACUUGUGUCAUGUAAUUCACCAUGUACAUGAAAGCUUUUCUAGUCUAGUGGUUACAGCUUUAUCCAGCAGGUCCGGGUCCGAAUCCUCACAUGAGUGAAUUUAUGGGGCUGGUUUUUAAAAAAAAAGUCCCCUCAGCAGCAAAGCUAGAGUUUGGAGUUUUUUCUAAGCCUGGAGAAGAUUGCUUUUUAAUGAAACAUCGUUGUC
rnacentral:lncRNA from 1 species